UACGGAGGGUGCAAGCGUUGUCCGGAUUUAUUGGGUUUAAAGGGUGCGUAGGCGGCCCGUUAAGUCAGCGGUGAAAUCCCACGGCUCAACCGUGGAACUGCCGUUGAUACUGGCGGGCUUGAGUUCGGUCGAGGCGGGCGGAACUGGUGGUGUAGCGGUGAAAUGCAUAGAUACCACCAAGAACCCCGAUUGCGUAGGCAGCUCGCUGGGCCGAAACUGACGCUGAGGCACGAAAGCGUGGGGAGCGAACAGGAUUAGAAACCCCAGUAGUCC
rnacentral:rRNA from 1 species